UGACGUGAGUGGACAGCGGACGAAGGAGAGUAACGUCGUAGGAACGUACCCUCAGGUCUGGGAUAGCUGCGGGAAACUGCAGGUAAUACCAGAUAAUGUCCCUGGACCAAAGGUGAGAUUCCUCCUGAGGAGCGGUCCGCGUCCUAUUAGCUUGUUGGUGGGGUAACGGCCUACCAAGGCGAUGAUGGGUAUCGGGGUGUGAGAGCAUGGCCCGGCUCACUGGGACUGAGACACUGCCCAGACACCUACGGGUGGCUGCAGUCGAGAAUCUUCCGCAAUGGGCGCAAGCCUGACGGAGCGACGCCGCGUGCGGGAUGAAGGCCUUCGGGUUGUAAACCGCUGUCAGAGGGGAGUAAGUGAAGGGGGUCAUCUCCUGGAUCUGAACUAUCCUCAGAGGAAGGACGGGCUAAGUUCGUG
rnacentral:rRNA from 1 species